AUCUGCCCUGAAGAAGAGAAUAAUCCCGGGAAACUGGGGGUAAUGCUCUAUAGUCCGGGAGGACUGGAAUGUUCUCCGGAUGAAAGAUCCGUCGCUUCAGGAUGAGUCUGCGGCCGAUUAGGUAGUUGUUGGGGUAAAAGCCCAACAAGCCUGUAAUCGGUACGGGUUGUGGGAGCAAGAGCCCGGAGAUGGAUUCUGAGACACGAAUCCAGGCCCUACGGGGCGCAGCAGGCGCGAAAACUUUACAAUGCGGGCAACCGUGAUAAGGAAACCCCGAGUGCCAGCACAGGCUGGCUGUCCACCAGUGUAAAAAACUGGUGAAGAAAGGGCCGGGCAAGACCGGUGCCAGCCGCCGCGGUAAUACCGGCGGCUCGAGUGGUGGCCGCUUUUACUGGGCUUAAAGGGUCCGUAGCUGGAUCCAUGGGUCCCUUGAGAAAUCCAUCAGCUUAACUGCUGGGCGUUCAGGGGAAACUGUGGUUCUAGGGACCGGGAGAGGUAAGAGGUACUGCCGGGGUAGGAGUGAAAUCCUGUAAUCCCGGUGGGACCACCUAUAGCGAAGGCAUCUUACCAGAACGGCUCCGACAGUGAGGGACGAAAGCUGGGGGAGCAAACCGGAUUAGAUACCCGGGUAGUCCCAGCUGUAAACGAUGCGCGUUAGGUGUGUCAGUGACCACGUGUCACUGAUGUGCCGAAGGGAAACCGUGAAACGCGCCGCCUGGGGAGUACGGUCGCAAGGCUGA
rnacentral:rRNA from 1 species